CCCAAGGCUCGUAGUUUAUGCCAUAGUAGUGUUCUAUUUACGGUAUCAAACGCUUUUCGCAUGUCGAUAAAGCAUACAUGUGUGGACAGUCGAGAUAUUUUUCUAUCGUUCAAAGUCAGGUAUAACGCUUGGAUGUGUUCUUCACAACUUCUACCCUUGCGGAAGCCAUUUUGUUCUUCGCAUAAAUGAUCGUUAUCUUCUA
rnacentral:lncRNA from 1 species